rnacentral:rRNA from 1 species
GGUCUGAACUCAGAUCACGUAAGAUUUUAAAAGUCGAACAGACUUAAAAUUUAAACGGCUACACCUAAAUUUAUAUCUUAAUCCAACAUCGAGGUCGCAAUCUUUUUUAUCAAUAUGAACUCUCCAAAAAAAUUACGCUGUUAUCCCUAAAGUAACUUAAAUUUUUAAUCAUUAUUAAUGGAUCAAUAAUUCAUAAAUUAAUGUUUUAAAUUUUAAAAGUUUAUUAAAUUUUAAUAUCACCCCAAUAAAAUAUAUUUUUUUAUUAUAAUUAAAUUAAUCUUAAAAAUUAAAAUAAUAAAUAUAUAAAGAUUUAUAGGGUCUUCUCGUCUUUUAAUUAUAUUUUAACUUUUUGAUUAAAAAAUAAAAUUUUAUUUUAAAUUUAAAUGAAACAGUUAAUAUUUCGUCCAACCAUUCAUUCCAGCCNUCAAUUAAAAGACUAAUGAUUAUGCUACCUUUGCACAGUUAAGAUACUGCGGCCAUU